UACGUAGGGGCUAGCGUUGUCCGGAUUUACUGGGCGUAAAGCGUGCGCAGGCGGUUUUGUAAGCCAGAUGUGAAAUCCCCGGGCUCAACCUGGGAAUGGCAUUUGGGACUGCAAGGCUUGAGUGCGGCAGAGGAGACUGGAAUUCCGCGUGUAGCAGUGAAAUGCGCAGAUAUCAGGAGGAACACCGGUGGCGAAGGCGGGUCUCUGGGCCGAUACUGACGCUGAGGAGCGAAAGCGUGGGGAGCGAACAGG
rnacentral:rRNA from 1 species